rnacentral:lncRNA from 1 species
CGUCUCGAAAAUGUUUCAUCAUAUCAGAUCUGUAUAAAUGUCAAAAAUACAGCUAAAACACGAUGCUAACAUUCUACGAGAAGGAACAAAUAUUCCAGCGGAUAAUGGAAAUCCUAUGGAUAAAAAACCGCCAUGGUUUGAUCAGGGAAAGUAUAAUCGAGUGAAACAGAUUUUUAUGCAACAUCCUGUCAGGUAAGUUUAACAUCGAUGAUUAAUUUUAAGAUUAUGAAGCCCAUUGAAAAAGUUAUUCGCGUAGAUGACUGAUAGAUCCGAAGAACAAGAAUUUGGAGUAGCAUUUCAUAUUUUUUCAGUAAUGCUUAGUUGGUUAUGCAACAAAAUUAUGUUUAGCAUUAUAUAUAUGUAUAUAUGGUGGUGGUCACUUCAAAGCCUAUAUGAGUUGGUCUUGAAGUUAACUAGUGAUUCUAGGCCGAACAUAGGCAGCUCUAGAAUGGCCACUGAAUAAUUUCUAAUAGGAAAAACAGCGUAAAAUGAGAGAUGAAUACCAAAAUUACACAUAAUUUCUCAGUUUUCAUUAUUUUCUAAAAGAAA